rnacentral:snRNA from 1 species
GGAUGUGAGGAUGAUUUGACUACAACAGCUGUCACCCCAACAAUUGCCAAGGUUGAUUUGGCUGAUCCAGCUGGCUAGGCAGGUGUCCUCUUCUUCCCUCACCACUCCUUCCCCAACAAAGGAGGACCGCACUUUGGUCAAGGGUAUACAGUAGCUGCUCUCCCGUUACAACCUCCAUACAGGUUUCUCAAGGUUUAUUUGUAGGAAAACAUAGGGUAGUCAAGCUUCCAAGACUCCAGCCACAUCCAAAAGAGGAGCUGCAUAUGGCAGUCUGCCAUUCUUA